GCCACUUCCGCUUCCGGGUCUCUGGGAUCAGAGGUGGUGCCCGGGCGGGAAGAAAGAAGCCUAAAUUGGGGCUCCUCAGCCUGCGGAGAGGGGUGGUCCGGGAAGAGAGGUGGUCACAAACUGCUACGGGCUCCUCCUCUUUUCCCAGAGCAGGGACGCGAAGCUGGGGAAGAGUUUGGAGCGUACGUCCUAUUGAGGAGCGGCUGAGGAAGUUGGCGUUCUUUAGCCUGGGAAGAGAAGGUUCAGGAGCGAUCUUAUCACUCUCUACAACUGCCUGAAAGGAGGUUGUAGCCAGGUGGGCGUCGGUCUCUUCUCCCAGGCAACCAGCGAGAGGACCAGACGACACUGUCUUAAGCUACGCCAGGGGAGGUUUAGGUUGGACGUCAGGAAGAAUUUCUUCACAGAAGGGGUGAUUAGAUUCUGGAUUGGGCUGCCCAGGAAGGUGGUGGAGUCACCAUCCCUGGAGUGUUUAAGGAAAGACUGGACGUGGCACUCAGUGCCAGGGUCUAGUUGACACUAUGGUGUUCGGUCAUAGGUUGGACUCGAUGAUCUCAGAGGUCUUUUCCAACCCAAUUGAUUCUGUGAUUCUGAGUGCAUACCGUGGGGUCACUACAGGAAAGUAUCAGGAACUUGGUUGGAAGUAGCUGGAACUGGCACAGGAAUUGGCAAAGGCUGUUGUGUUGUGCUCACCCUUGCACGGGCUGCAGGGGAGACUGAGCAGGUGCUUGAAGGAGAAAGAGUAGUUGACUGUGUCAGGCUCGGAAAUGUCCUGACCUGAAAACAACUGGAGGCUUGGACAGACAUGAUUCCUCUGCUUUUAGUUUUCAGUAGAUAUUCCCUUAUAGCCAGAAGUGGAGGUAGAAAUAGGUGGAUCCCUGCUCCAGCUAACAGUGCAACUUAACUCUCCUCUGGAUGUUACAGGCUUGCUAGUGUAGCAGAGAUGCCUCUGUGCUGGGCCCUCUGUUUCUUUUGUGAAAAAGCACAGCCAGGAAAACAGUGUGUAGAUAGAUUUGCUUAAGCAAAACUGUGUUUCCAACGGAAUGCCAGCAAAAAUUCUCCAUGGGCUUUAAGAGGUCUACUUACAUGGACUUGUCUGAAGAAUUGUGGCCUGGCAGUGUUUGUCCAUGUGAAAGGAAUAUUUAAGGUGUGGUGUGGUUUCACUCCUGUAGCAGCUAAGUCCCUCACAGCCACUUGCUCACUCCCCCUUGAAGUGGGAUAAGGGAGAGAAUCAUAAAGGUAAAAGUGAGAAAGCUCAUGGAUUGAGAACAAACAGGCAUCAGUCAGACACCAGGUGGUGCUGAAGACCAGCCAGAAAAGAAAGUGAAACUGGAGUGCGAGGGGUGUUCAGAAAAAGCAGGAAGUGAAGAGAAACUGCAAGAUACUCAGUUUCUAAUUUCCGUAAAUUGGGAGCAACAUACAGUCACGUCAGCAGUAUAGCAAAAUUAGGAACGAAACCAUUUGCAGAGGGGGAGAUUAGAACAAAAAGAUAUCAUGAAUGAGCACUAAUCUGUUCUUGUCAUCUAGAUUUAAGAUUCUGAUGAGAUUUUAAAACAAGCUCUAGAGCUGCAGAUCAGAAAUACUGUGUAAAGAUGUAUUAAACUGGGAGAGUAUGUACAGCUGUUUUUAUUUAGCAAUGCACAAGGCAAAUAAUUAUUUACAGCUGAUGUUGUACAUUGUGUAUAUAUAUAGUUUUCAUUGGACUUUGCCAUGUUAGACACUUUGAAAUUAAUUACACAGGCAAAAGGUGACAUCUGCAUGUGACAUCAAACAGUCUUUGUGAAGGACCAUGUCCUGGUUGCCUUUGUGACAUUAUUAACUCUUAAUCUGACUCUCCUGGUGUACCAGCAGAGGAAUCCCAAGUCCCUAAGGUCUUCCUGUGACUUUCCAAAGCCAACAUGGCAGUGUCUGAACAAGGAGCUUGAGGGCAGCCAUAGUAGUCAUUUCAAGGAUUGCUUUGAGAAAACAACUGCAAGGGUUUUAAUAGCCUAUGAUAAAACAUUUCCUCUUUACUGUAUAUCAAUUCUCUUUUAUCUUGGAGGUAGUUAGGUGCUUGUACCCUUAUUCUGUUUCUGCUCACCAAUUUAAAUCCUUCUCAUGUCAGAGCAGACACUACAGUCAAGAAGUCAUUUUCCCAGGAUGCAGGUCAUCCUCUGUGCUUUGGUUUCAGCUCAGCCAUAUUGUUUUAGGUAGUUGACAGCUGAGUUUAUGUUUUUCCUUAACUUAAAACCAUUACAAAAAUACCACACAGGAAACCCCACAUGCACACUUUAAAUCUUUUUCCUAAUUACAAACUUAAUACAUUUGGUUUUGUUACUUUUACCCAAAUUGUUGCUGAUGAAUAAACUUACACUUUUAAAGUUAUUUGUUCUACAGAAAAUGGAUAAAUUAGGUAUUUUGCCUGAAGGAAGAACAUAUGGUGUUGCCCUUUUCUAUACUGAUACAGGUCAAUUAACUUAUUCUGUUUCUGUGUAACAUUUUUUUCCAUGUGUUCAUAAAGUAAUAAUGAAUGUAGUAAGAAAAUAAAAACACCCAUCAGGAUGUUUUAUGAAACAGACAUUUCUGACUCUAUCUAGUAAAUAUACUUUAAAAAAAACCCAGAAACAUUAUUUGCUGAACUGAGACUGCAAAAGGAUUUAUUUAAUUUAAAGUAACUGUGAAAGAUGUAUACUAACUGUAUAAAAACAGGAUUCACAUUAUUUUCCCACUUCCUCCAAUAGGAGUUCACAUAGAAAGAAACUUGAUGCCACAAACUUGUACGUUAUUGUAUAUGGAACAUAGCAAAAUAUUUUUUUUAUAUACUGAUUCAGUUAAUUUAUUCCUUGCUUAUUGGAUUCAAUGUUCAGGGUAAACUGACUUGGAACAAAAUGAAUGACUAGUACAAUGUUCAUUUCUGACUGAUUUCAGCAUGCAUGAAGUUUUUGUGGGGACAGGUGAAUACUGUCUAAAUCUGAAUAAAUAUUUUAACUUUG